GCUGGCGGCGUGCUUACACAUGCAAGUCGAGCGGAAAUAUGUAAUCGGAGAGCUUCGGCAGGAAGAUUACAUAUUUUAGCGGCGGACGGGUGAGUAACGUGUGGGCAACCUGCCCUGUACUGUGGAAUAAUCACUGGAAACGGUGACUAAUACCGCAUGUCAUUGCGAGAGGGCAUCCUCUUGCAAGAAAAGGAUUUAUUCGGUACAGGAUGGGCCCGCAUCUGAUUAGCUAGUUGGUGAGAUAACAGCCCACCAAGGCAACGAUCAGUAGCCGACCUGAGAGGGUGAUCGGCCACAUUGGGACUGAGACACGGCCCAAACUCCUACGGGAGGCAGCAGUGGGGAAUAUUGCACAAUGGGCGAAAGCCUGAUGCAGCAACGCCGCGUGAAGGAAGAAGGGUUUCGGCUCGUAAACUUCUAUCAACAGGGACGAAAAAAAUGACGGUACCUGAAUAAGAAGCCCCGGGCUAACUACGUGCCAGCAGCCGCGGUAAUACGUAGGGGGCAAGCGUUAUCCCGGAAUUACUGGGUGUAAA
rnacentral:rRNA from 1 species